rnacentral:rRNA from 1 species
CCCUUAGAUGUUCUGGGCUGCACGCGCGCUGCACUGAUGCAUCCAACAAGUUUUUUCCUUGUUCGAGAGGACUAGGUAAUCUUAUGAGAAUGCAUCGUGAUGGGGAUAGAUUAUUGCAAUUAUUAAUCUUCAACGAGGAAUUCCUAGUAAGCGCGAGUCAUCAGCUCGUGCUGAUUACGUCCCUGCCCUUUGUACACACCGCCCGUCGCUGCAACUGAUUGGGUGACCUGGUGAACAUCUUGGACCGGCCCACUCAAUUUCGAGAGGACUGGAAAAGGCCGUAAAUCAGGUACAUCUAGAAAUUGCAAAAGUCGUAACA